AACGAACGCUGGCGGCAGGCUUAACACACGCAAGUCGAGCGCAUCCUUCGGGGUGAGCGGCGGACGGGUGAGUAACGCGUGGGAACGUGCCCUCUUCUACGGAAUAGCCUCGGGAAACUGAGAGUAAUGCCGUAUACGCCCGCAAGGGGAAAGAUUUAUCGGAGGAGGAUCGGCCCGCGUUGGAUUAGGUAGUUGGUGGGGUAACGGCCUACCAAGCCGACGAUCCAUAGCUGGUUUGAGAGGAUGAUCAGCCACACUGGGACUGAGACACGGCCCAGACUCCUACGGGAGGCAGCAGUGGGGAAUCUUGGACAAUGGGGGCAACCCUGAUCCAGCCAUGCCGCGUGAUCGAUGAAGGCCUUAGGGUUGUAAAGAUCUUUCAGCUGGGAAGAUAAUGACGGUACCAGCAGAAGAAGCCCCGGCUAACUCCGUG
rnacentral:rRNA from 1 species